rnacentral:rRNA from 1 species
CUGGCUCAGGAUGAACGCUAGCUACAGGCUUAACACAUGCAAGUCAGGGUAACAUGAUUGGAGCUUGCUCCGAUUGAUGACGACCGGCGCACGGGUGAGUAACGCGUAUCCAACCUGCCCCAUGCUCAGGGAUAACCUUCCGAAAGGGAGCCUAAUACCUGAUGUUGUGCGACGAUGGCAUCAGAAUUACACUAAAGAUUCAUCGGCAUGGGAUGGGGAUGCGUCUGAUUAGCUUGUUGGCGGGGUAACGGCCCACCAAGGCUACGAUCAGUAGGGUUCUGAGAGGAAGGUCCCCCACACUGGUACUGAGACACGGACCAGACUCCUACGGGAGGCAGCAGUGAGGAAUAUUGGUCAAUGGGCGGGAGCCUGAACCAGCCAAGUAGCGUGCAGGAAGACGGCCCUACGGGUUGUAAACUGCUUUUAUGAGGGGAUAAAGUGGGCUACGUGUAGCUUAUUGCAGGUACCUCAUGAAUAAGGACCGGCUAAUUCCGUGCCAGCCGCCGC